GGUUUUUUGUUUAUAAUUUAAGAUUUAACCUGCCCAAUGAUUAGUUUUAAAYGGCUGCGGUAUUUUGACCGUACAAAGGUAGCAUAAUCAUUAGUUUUUUAAUUGAAAGCUUGUAUGAAAGGUUGGAUGAGAAAAAUUCUGUCUCUAGAAAAAUUUAAUAGAAUUUUAUUUUUAAGUAAAAAAGCUUAAAUAUUUAUAAAAGACGAGAAGACCCUAUAGAGUUUUAUAAUAUUUUAAUUAAUUUUUAUUGAAUAGAAUUAAAAAUAAUUUAUUGAAAUUUUAUUUUAUUGGGGUGAUAGAAAAAUUUAUUUAACUUUUUUUUUAUAAAAUAACAUUGAUUUAUGAAUAGAAGAUCCUUAUAUAAAGAUUAAAAGUUUAAAUUACCUUAGGGAUAACGGCGUAAUUUUUUUUUAGAGUUCAAAUUAAGAGAAAAGAUUGCGACCUCGAUGUUGGAUUAAAAUUAAUUUUUGGUGCRRAAGCUAAAAAUGAGGGUCUGUUCGACCUUUAAAAUUUUMCAUGAYCUGAKUUUAAMCCGGGGUGASCCMGGUC
rnacentral:rRNA from 1 species